CUGCAGACCAGCAACACUGGUAUCACUUGGGUACUUGUUAGAAAUGCAGAAUCUCAGGCCCUACCCCAGACCUACUGAAUCAGAACCUGUAUUUUAACAAGAAACCAGGUGCCCCAAUGCCAUGGAUGAGCCACUCUAAAGAAUCUGAAACACCUUAUGGGACGCUAAGAAGCCAUCACCAUCCUCCAGAAGGAGCCAGGAAUGAAAUGUUCACAACCUUCAUGACAAGGGGCACCUGUAGGACAGAGCCAGGACACUGGGAAGAGAGAAGUCGGCAGAAAGAGAAAAAUGGAGGGAGAGGAACGUAAAGGGCUGUCAGGAGCACACUGAAGCUGCCUUUGAAUGAACUGGGAGGUGACUUAGCUGGUGGUCCUCAAGACUAUACACACAUAUGAUACUAUGUAAAAGCUGUCUGUUCAGCUUCAACAUCAUGCUACAUUCUUCUCCCGCUCCAGCUUUAUUGAGAUAUAAUCGACAUGUAUCAUCAUGAAUCAGACUCAACCUAAUGGAUCCUGAUUUGUUGGUUUCCCCUCAUGUUCAAAGCAACAGGAAAUGUCCAGAUGCUUAGAUAAUAAAGCGUCAUAGUUGCUUUAGAAAAACAGUUUACUUAAGAAGCUU